CUGUCGGCAGGCCUAACACAUGGAAGUCGAACGGUAGCACAGAGGAGCUUGCUCCUUGGGUGACGAGUGGCGGACGGGUGAGUAAUGUCUGGGAAACUGCCCGAUGGAGGGGGAUAACUACUGGAAACGGUAGCUAAUACCGCAUAACGUCGCAAGACCAAAGAGGGGGACCUUCGGGCCUCUUGCCAUCGGAUGUGCCCAGAUGGGAUUAGCUAGUAGGUGGGGUAACGGCUCACCUAGGCGACGAUCCCUAGCUGGUCUGAGAGGAUGACCAGCCACACUGGAACUGAGACACGGUCCAGACUCCUACGGGAGGCAGCAGUGGGGAAUAUUGCACAAUGGGCGCAAGCCUGAUGCAGCCAUGCCGCGUGUAUGAAGAAGGCCUUCGGGUUGUAAAGUACUUUCAGCGAGGAGGAAGGUGUUGUGGUUAAUAACCGCAGCAAUUGACGUUACUCGCAGAAGAAGCACCGGCUAACUCCGUGCCAGCAGCCGCGGUAAUACGGAGGGUGCAAGCGUUAAUCGGAAUUACUGGGCGUAAAGCGCACGCAGGCGGUCUGUCAAGUCGGAUGUGAAAUCCCCGGGCUCAACCUGGGAACUGCAUCCGAAACUGGCAGGCUAGAGUCUUGUAGAGGGGGGUAGAAUUCCAGGUGUAGCGGUGAAAUGCGUGGAGAUCUGGAGGAGUACCGGUGGCGAAGGCGGCCCCCUGCACAAAGACUGACGCUCAGGUGCGAAAGCGUGGGGAGCAAACAGGAUUAGAUACCCUGGUAGUCCACGCCGUAAACGAUGUCGACUUGGAGGUUGUGCCCUUGAGGCGUGGCUUCCGGAGCUAACGCGUUAAGUCGACCGCCUGGGGAGUACGGCCGCAAGGUUAAAACUCAAAUGAAUUGACGGGGGCCCGCACAAGCGGUGGAGCAUGUGGUUUAAUUCGAUGCAACGCGAAGAACCUUACCUACUCUUGACAUCCAGAGAACUUAGCAGAGAUGCUUUGGUGCCUUCGGGAACUCUGAGACAGGUGCUGCAUGGCUGUCGUCAGCUCGUGUUGUGAAAUGUUGGGUUAAGUCCCGCAACGAGCGCAACCCUUAUCCUUUGUUGCCAGCGGUUAGGCCGGGAACUCAAAGGAGACUGCCAGUGAUAAACUGGAGGAAGGUGGGGAUGACGCCAAGUCAUCAUGGCCCUUACGAGUAGGGCUACACACGUGCUACAAUGGCAUAUACAAAGAGAAGCGACCUCGCGAGAGCAAGCGGACCUCAUAAAGUAUGUCGUAGUCCGGAUUGGAGUCUGCAACUCGACUCCAUGAAGUCGGAAUCGCUAGUAAUCGUGGAUCAGAAUGCCACGGUGAAUACGUUCCCGGGCCUUGUACACACCGCCCGUCACACCAUGGGAGUGGGUUGCAAAAGAAGUAGGUAGCUUAACCUUCGGGAGGGCGCUUACCACUUUGUGAUUCAUGACUGGGGUG
rnacentral:rRNA from 1 species